rnacentral:lncRNA from 1 species
CUUCUUCGGGGGAAGUCUCUCUCUCUCUCUCUCUCUCUUUUUUCAAGGUGUAUAACUUAGAUGAAAACAUAACUUAUAUAUCCAAGAAAAAUACCUACCAGAGUGUUCCCGAGUUGAAGAUUUCCGUAGUUCUAGUAAUUCUUUUAACCUCUUGGUAGCCUUUGCAGCUUCCUCAGUUUUUCUUUGGAGAACCUAAAUUAAAAUGGAUUAGCUAGCAUCAAUAAUAGUUCAAAAAUUGUUAGACAAGUGCACAAACGAGGAUGAUAAAGUUUUGCAUCCUAUAGCAACUUAAAGUACUUCAUAUACCCCCAAAUGCGGCACUUAACAUAUCAGUGAAUCAAAACAGCUUUCACUAUUUCAAGACGCACAAUUUGCACAAAUCCAAGAGGCAAAGCACACAGACAGCAGGCAACAAAAGAAAUACGCCAUUCCUGACACUUACCUGGAUUCAACUAACGAGAAAACAUAAAGAAAAUAGAUAUUUAAGUGACCAGCAAUUCCAAAAGCCACCUUUACAGUUCAAAAGAAAUAUGGUGGUAGAAGGCUUGUGAUCAGCGCCAAAAUGUCCACUCCUUCAGUUCGGCAACCCAAGACUCAAUCCCUAGAGAUUAACAUUCCCAAUAUAUAUAGAUUUAUGAACUUAAGGGAAAGGCCAAACAACAGCUUUAGAGAAUAAUUAAAGAUUGAGCAUAAAAUACUAGUAAACAAAGAAGUUAGUGCAUUUCCAAAAUAAUACCUUCACAUCAUCUAA